rnacentral:lncRNA from 1 species
CAAUGUUUAAUACCAUAAGUCGAAGGUUGGGAUUUAUUUCAAGGGGUAAUUGGGAAAACAGUCUAGGAAUUGAGGGCCAAAAAGGGGCCAAAACAAGCAUUUUUCUAGUUUUAAGACAAUAACUUGUGUGUAACUGUAUGGAUCUCUCUGACAUUGUACCACAAGUUUCCAUAUAACACAAGGAAGACUGGGAUUCAGUUUGGGG